rnacentral:rRNA from 1 species
CAGCCGUAAACUAUGCUCGCUAGGUGUCAGGCAUGGCGCGACCGUGUCUGGUGCCGCAGGGAAGCCGUGAAGCGAGCCACCUGGGAAGUACGGCCGCAAGGCUGAAACUUAAAGGAAUUGGCGGGGGAGCACCACAACAGGUGGAGCCUGCGGUUUAAUUGGAUUCAACGCCGGACAUCUCACCGGAUAAGACAGCUGAAUGAUUGUCAAUCUGAAGGUUUUACAUGACUAGCUGAGAGGAGGUGCAUGGCGUAGACGUCU